GGGUCGUUAGCUCAGUCGGUAGAGCCGUUGAAGCUUAAUCAAUGGGGCACAGGUUCGAACCCUGUACCACCCACCA
rnacentral:tRNA from 1 species